UACGAAGGGGGCUAGCGUUGUUCGGAUUUACUGGGCGUAAAGGGCGCGUAGGCGGCCUUCUAAGUCGAACGUGAAAUCCCCGGGCUCAACCCGGGAACUGCGUCCGAUACUGGAAGGCUUGAAUCCGGGAGAGGGAUGUGGAAUUCCAGGUGUAGCGGUGAAAUGCGUAGAUAUCUGGAGGAACACCGGUGGCGAAGGCGACAUCCUGGACCGGUAUUGACGCUGAGGCGCGAAAGCCAGGGGGAGCAAACGGG
rnacentral:rRNA from 1 species